rnacentral:rRNA from 1 species
CGAUUACGGCUCAGUAACACGUGGAUAACCUACCCUUAGGACUGGGAUAACCCUGGGAAACUGGGGAUAAUACUGGAUAGGCAAUUAUUCCUGUAAUGGUUUUUUGUUUAAAUGUUUUUUCGCCUAAGGAUGGGUCUGCGGCCGAUUAGGUAGUUGGUUAGGUAAUGGCUUACCAAGCCUUUGAUCGGUACGGGUUGUGAGAGCAAGAGCCCGGAGAUGGAACCUGAGACAAGGUUCCAGGCCCUACGGGGUGCAGCAGGCGCGAAACCUCCGCAAUGUGAGAAAUCGCGACGGGGGGAUCCCAAGUGCCAUUCUUAACGGGAUGGCUUUUCAUUAGUGUAAAGAGCUUUUGGAAUAAGAGCUGGGCAAGGCCGGUGCCAGCCGCCGCGGUAACACCGGCAGCUCUAGUGGUAGCAGUUUUUAUUGGGCCUAAAGCGUCCGUAGCCGGUUUAAUAAGUCUCUGGUGAAAUCCUGCAGCUUAACUGUGGGAAUUGCUGGAGAUACUAU